rnacentral:rRNA from 1 species
AUCUGACACCCUAGAGAAAGGGCUUCUCCUUCGGGAGCAGAGUGACAGGUGGUGCAUGGUUGUCGUCAGCUCGUGUCGUGAGAUGUUGGGUUAAGUCCCGCAACGAGCGCAACCCUUGAUCUUAGUUGCCAUCAUUUAGUUGGGCACUCUAAGGUGACUGCCGGUGACAAACCGGAGGAAGGUGGGGAUGACGUCAAAUCAUCAUGCCCCUUAUGACCUGGGCUACACACGUGCUACAAUGGACGGUACAAAGAGCUGCAAGACCGCGAGGUGGAGCUAAUCUCAUAAAACCGUUCUCAGUUCGGAUUGUAGGCUGCAACUCGCCUACAUGAAGCUGGAAUCGCUAGUAAUCGCGGAUCAGCAUGCCGCGGUGAAUACGUUCCCGGGUCUUGUACCACACGCCAA